AGGAUAAUAGUUAAUUAUAACAUUUAAUUUGCAAUUAAAAAGUAUUGUAUACAAUUUAUCUUA
rnacentral:tRNA from 1 species